AAACCCUGAAGAGCUUAAAUUCUUCGGUUCAAUACUUCCUUGUGAGUUCCCAAAGUACAAAGCUCUGCCAACUUCAUCUACCUUUUCUUUAAUGGCAGCCCUUACAUCAGGCACGUCUGCUUUCUUAUUCCCUUCCUUCUUAUCUGAUGACGUGUCAUAACUAGUGGAUCCAUCCAGAAUGGAGAACGGAAGAACAGUCUUCA
rnacentral:lncRNA from 1 species